rnacentral:rRNA from 1 species
CAAUAGCCGCGGUAAUACAGAGGGUGCGAGCGUUAAUCGGAUUUACUGGGCGUAAAGCGUGCGUAGGCGGCUUCUUAAGUCGGAUGUGAAAUCCCUGAGCUUAACUUAGGAAUUGCAUUCGAUACUGGGAAGCUAGAGUAUGGGAGAGGAUGGUAGAAUUCCAGGUGUAGCGGUGAAAUGCGUAGAGAUCUGGAGGAAUACCGAUGGCGAAGGCAGCCAUCUGGCCUAAUACUGACGCUGAGGUACGAAAGCAUGGGGAGCAAACAGGAUUAGAUACCCCUGUAGUCCCUGUCUCUUAUAC